rnacentral:rRNA from 1 species
UACGGGGGGGGCAAGCGUUGUUCGGAAUUACUGGGCGUAAAGGGCUCGUAGGUGGCCAACUAAGUCAGACGUGAAAUCCCUCAGCUUAACUGGGGAACUGCGUCUGAUACUGGAUGGCUUGAGUUUGGGAGAGGGAUGCGGAAUUCCAGGUGUAGCGGUGAAAUGCGUAGAGAUCUGGAGGAACACCGAUGGCGAAGGCAGCCUUCUGGGCCAACACUGACGCUCAUGCACGAAAGCGUGGGGAGCAAACAGG